UCGACUCUCGCCGCCGCCGCCGCCGCCGCGAGCCGCGUCGUGCGGGAACGCGAGGGUUUUUCCAGGGGGAUGGAUUUGGGGUCGUGCUACCUCGGCGGCAACGCCGACGCGGUGGAGUUCUGCCCGCACCGCCCCUUCCGCCACGUCCUCGCCGCCGCCACCUACACGCUGCAGGAGCAGGGCGGGGAGCGGCAGGACCGCGCGGGCAGCGUGUCGCUCUUCGCCGUCGACGCCGGCGAGGAGGACGCGCCCCGGAGGCUCCGGCUGCUCCACACGGUGGAGACCGCCGGGGUGUUCGACAUGAAGUGGAGCCCCGUGGCGCCUCUGCUCGCGCAGGCCGACGCCCACGGCCGCCUCGCGCUCUGGCGCCUGGAGCAGGAGGACGGAUCGGACAAAGGUGCUGUUCUCAGGGAUGUCUGUUCUGGAGACAUUUCUUCUUCGAUGUGCUUGUUUGUGGACUGGAACCAAACUGCCAAGGCACUUUCCGUUGGAUUAUCGGAUGGUUCCCUGUCUGUGGUUUCCAUGAGGGAGGACCGCUUGGAGGUAUCAGAACAGUGGACUGCUCAUCAGUAUGAAGUGUGGACUUGCUAUUUUGAUCGUGCAAAUCCACACUUGUUAUACAGCGGAUCAGACGACUGCUCCUUCAGCUGCUGGGACUUGCGACAGAACCCAUCAAAUGCUGUGUUUCAGAACAAAAAGUCGCAUAAUAUGGGUGUCUGUUGCAUUGCUCAGAAUCCACUAGAGGGGAACAUGCUACUUACUGGAAGCUAUGAUGAAUUUCUCAGAGUUUGGGACAUAAGAUCAAUGGUGAAACCCGUUAAUGUGAAGUCCCUAAAUUUAGGGGGUGGUGUAUGGAGGAUUAAAUAUCAUCCUCUUAUUGCAGAUGUUGUCUUGGCUGCAUGCAUGCACAAUGGGUUUGCCAUUGUUAAAGUAGGUACUGGGGAUGCUGCAGUAGUGGAAACAUAUUGCAAGCAUGAGUCCUUAGCAUAUGGUGCGGAUUGGCAGAUAAAUGAAGGUGCAGAACAGAACAAGAAUUUUUCAGUUGUUGCUACCUGUUCAUUUUAUGAUCGACUCCUCCGUGUGUGGCAACCGGAGAACCUAGGCAAUCUUUAAGAGUGAAAGUGCCAUUGCACUCAGUUCAAGUAUCACUAUGUGGACUUGUUUCCAGGAACCUGUUUUGAUAUUAUCAUUGUUUGGAUUUGUGGUGAAAACAUGGACGAUAUGGGUCGAUUAUGGCAUCGAAUAUGAUCUAUAGGUAAGUUUGAAGAUGUGUUUGAAGAUCAUUCACCAUUGAAUUGAUUGACAGCAUAGCUGAGUCUGCAGAGUUCAGUUCUGGUAAUGCCCAUAAAUUUUGAAGGUGCGGAAGGAAAAUGAGGGCAGAAGAUAGGAAAUACCAUUAAAGUUGCAUUCACGUAAUAUUCGAAGCACAGCUGAAAAUUACUUGCCUUAUAUCGUGACAUGUAGGGAAUGGAUCUUUCUGUGUUACUCCCUUUGGGGCAAUGUUACUUCUUACAUGAAUAAUGCUUGACCUUUUUCUAAAAUACUGUGUUUUGACCUUGACAUUCUGUUUGAGAUCUAUAUAGAAUGCUUUUAAGACUCUUUUUUGAAGCAUUAUGACCCUUGUGGUUCACUGUUUUCCUUUUAGUUUCUGUUUGCUACAAAGUGACUCAUUGUUGGUUGCUACUGUAAGUUGUGAACAUAAACAACAGAAUUGAUGGCUCAUGGCUAGAUAUUAUAUCAUACAUAAAGAAACAUAGCACCAUAGGCAUCUAGAUCAUGCUGCAGAUGCAAGUAAGGUGCUCCUGUUAAUAAGUUGGCACUAGUUCUCAAUCAACCAAAAUAAUUACCGAACACAUGCAAACCAAGUUAUAAUCCUGUUCCUUUUCUUCUUUUUUUUUUGAGAAAAAUACUUUCAGAGUUGGGCAAAUGUAGGUAGUCAAACAUGGUCCCUGCUUGGUCAAGAAUGAUUCUGGGAUAAUGUGCUCUCCUAAUGUAUCUAAAGCCAGCUCCAGAUUUGUUACUGCUCAAUGGCCAGUGCAUGUUAUGUCUGGUCGAUGAAAACAAUUGAUCCUCUAUUGGCUAGGAUACAGUUCUAAUAAGCUGCUACUUGAUAGCCAGCUAUUCAGGCACAAAGUGGUUGAACCAUCCAGUUUUCAUUGGUUUCUAACAAAACUAGAUAGAAUAUGUGAUUCUUGAUAUUGCUUGUUCUUCACAAAAUUGACGGGGGAUGGCAUAUUAUGACCAAUGGUACCCAACCAAUUGGUAUUGGCGGGACCUUGAAUCUUGACUGGUAUAUGAUGUUACUGAUUGGGUGCAUUUCUGAGAGGGUAUUCACUAUCUCCAUGUCAGCCACCUAUUAAAAAAAAGUCAAAAGUUCAGAAAUUUUCAUAGGAGUGUUCGACUUGUUUGUGCCCAGCAACUAAAUCCCACUUCGGUGAAGCGGUUGAACCCCACAAUCGGUGCUAGUGAUUUCCUCCCUGUACAAGUGGAAAAUUCCAUCCUAAAAUACAGUUAGUUCUUUUUCUGUUUUGUUUAGUUAUAUGCAUAUAAGGAUGCCUCCGUUGGGCUCAAGAGCUCUAGUCGUACAUGAAACUGAGAUCUUAUCGAAUUUAAGUGCAUGUUAUGGAAGCUGAUUUAUUUAGAGGGAGGGACUUCUGACUUUGUCAUCCAGGAUUUGGAAAUGUAAUGCUUUGGAUAAACAUGAGUUAGUGGCUAAACAGGAGUGUCACAUUGUUCUAACUCCACACUCUUAAAGGCAUAGCUCUAAAGGUGGAGAGUGCUCCUUCAGCUUUUUGUAAUGGGUGCCUUUCUUUUUUGCCCCCUCUCUUGCUGAUAGUAGAUUCAGUCACACAUCAUGAGUUUUUGAAGUUCGUUUUGUUGGUGAGGGCUUAAGUACAAGAUUCUGGGUUCUUUGCAAUUGAUUUCUCUGGAGAAGUACCUGCAGACAUCAGCAACCUCGUCAAGGUAUAAAGUAGCUUUCCCCCUCGUCUUGUUUGUACUCACUACUAACCAUGGAAGAUGAAUGGCUUGAACAUGCACAUGGUUCUUGAGAGCAGCAGGAGGAGGAGGAUGAAGAGCAAUGGCUAAGCUCCAGUUCAAGAAGCUCUUCAACUCCAUGGUGCCUUUCCGGCCUCCUAGGUGGUCGGCUGAGGUACGCACCAAACCGGCAAGUCACAAAACGGCAAUGGUGAAACUCCAGCAGGAGUCCACCCUUUUCUUUUCUGCAUUUCCAUCCUUCCAGUUGUAUCAGGUGGUGGCGAAAUAAUCAGAAAUAUCUGUGUGAUCCUUAAUAUCAGGUGGUGGCAAAAUUAUUGAUACCUAAUUGCUGAGUCAAUGCUUGUUUUAUGUGUACUCUGGAAAUUGCCCUACUACUAAUAAAUGGCUGCUUUUUAUCUAGAAAGAUGCUAUGUUGUCUCA